rnacentral:lncRNA from 1 species
UGAAAAUUGGCAUAGUCCUAAUAAACUAUCAGUGUCGUUCUAGAUUUACACUACCAGCUGAAUAUUGUGUUGAUUCAUAAACUUCUCUGUGCUUACCCAGUUUGAUUUGUUCCAGGUACUUAUGUUGCACUAGGACUCUGCAGCCUGGACCAUUCUGCAAUACCAAUCUCAACACCUAUGUUUUAGACGGUGUUGUGAAGAACAGUUCGGCAGCUAUCCAAGGUUGACAAUUCUUCUCUCACUUUUCUCAGCAAAAGCAGAGGCAGUACAUGAAAAUGUCUACACAGUGUUUGUUUCAGUCCCAAAUGGAAUAUUCUUUUAAGCACAUCUGUACUACCAUCUACUGGAAAGGUGAGUAACUGUGUAACAGCAAUCACUGUUUCCAUCAGCUACAGAGCCUAGAUUAA